AACCAAAAAGGGCUAACUUUGAAGGAAAUUUGAUGUCAAAUUUGUCCGAUAAUUGGAAUGAUCCAGAAAUUACCACAUAAACAAACCGAAACUAGUGCAAAAAUUGGUACCCAUCCCGUUCGAUCCUUCGAAACACCAGAUCCACCGCCAAAAACACAAUCAUGAUUAAAUCUCGAAAAUCACCAUAAAAAAAUUAGCGAUAAUAAGCUUCAAAUUAACCAAAUCAUCAAACCAUAGAAGCAACGAUCGAGCCAGCGAUGAUCAUCAAUUGAAGAUCCUAACCUUCAACUGAGGCAAAAAUCCACAGCAAACGAAUCUAAUUUGGAGAAAACCUAGCCCUAGAACCUAAACAAAACCUACGACGAAGAAGAGCAAACCAAUAUCUUACCACACAACUAGCAGGCGAAAACGGCAGGUGCC
rnacentral:lncRNA from 1 species